rnacentral:rRNA from 1 species
UAAUUGAAGAGUUUGAUCAUGGCUCAGAUUGAACGCUGGCGGCAGGCCUAACACAUGCAAGUCGAGCGGUAGCACAGGAGAGCUUGCUCUCUGGGUGACGAGCGGCGGACGGGUGAGUAAUGUCUGGGAAACUGCCUGA